rnacentral:rRNA from 1 species
GAUGAACGCUGGCGGCGUGCCUAAUACAUGCAAGUCGAGCGAACGGACGAGAAGCUUGCUUCUCUGAUGUUAGCGGCGGACGGGUGAGUAACACGUGGAUAACCUACCUAUAAGACUGGGAUAACUUCGGGAAACCGGAGCUAAUACCGGAUAAUAUUUUGAACCGCAUGGUUCAAAAGUGAAAGACGGUCUUGCUGUCACUUAUAGAUGGAUCCGCGCUGCAUUAGCUAGUUGGUAAGGUAACGGCUUACCAAGGCAACGAUGCAUAGCCGACCUGAGAGGGUGAUCGGCCACACUGGAACUGAGACACGGUCCAGACUCCUACGGGAGGCAGCAGUAGGGAAUCUUCCGCAAUGGGCGAAAGCCUGACGGAGCAACGCCGCGUGAGUGAUGAAGGUCUUCGGAUCGUAAAACUCUGUUAUUAGGGAAGAACAUAUGUGUAAGUAACUGUGCACAUCUUGACGGUACCUAAUCAGAAAGCCACGGCUAACUACGUGCCAGCAGCCGCGGUAAUACGUAGGUGGCAAGCGUUAUCCGGAAUUAUUGGGCGUAAAGCGCGCGUAGGCGGUUUUUUAAGUCUGAUGUGAAAGCCCACGGCUCAACCGUGGAGGGUCAUUGGAAACUGGAAAACUUGAGUGCAGAAGAGGAAAGUGGAAUUCCAUGUGUAGCGGUGAAAUGCGCAGAGAUAUGGAGGAACACCAGUGGCGAAGGCGACUUUCUGGUCUGUAACUGACGCUGAUGUGCGAAAGCGUGGGGAUCAAACAGGAUUAGAUACCCUGGUAGUCCACGCCGUAAACGAUGAGUGCUAAGUGUUAGGGGGUUUCCGCCCCUUAGUGCUGCAGCUAACGCAUUAAGCACUCCGCCUGGGGAGUACGACCGCAAGGCUGAAACUCAAAGGAAUUGACGGGGACCCGCACAAGCGGUGGAGCAUGUGGUUUAAUUCGAAGCAACGCGAAGAACCUUACCAAAUCUUGACAUCCUUUGACAACUCUAGAGAUAGAGCCUUCCCCUUCGGGGGACAAAGUGACAGGUGGUGCAUGGUUGUCGUCAGCUCGUGUCGUGAGAUGUUGGGUUAAGUCCCGCAACGAGCGCAACCCUUAAGCUUAGUUGCCAUCAUUAAGUUGGGCACUCUAAGUUGACUGCCGGUGACAAACCGGAGGAAGGUGGGGAUGACGUCAAAUCAUCAUGCCCCUUAUGAUUUGGGCUACGCACGUGCUACAAUGGACAAUACAAAGGGCAGCGAAACCGCGAGGUCAAGCAAAUCCCAUAAAGUUGUUCUCAGUUCGGAUUGUAGUCUGCAACUCGACUACAUGAAGCUGGAAUCGCUAGUAAUCGUAGAUCAGCAUGCUACGGUGAAUACGUUCCCGGGUCU